AAAUUGAAGAGUUUGAUCAUGGCUCAGAUUGAACGCUGGCGGCAGGCCUAACACAUGCAAGUCGGACGGUAGCACAGGGGAGCUUGCUCCCCGGGUGACGAGUGGCGGACGGGUGAGUAAUGUCUGGGAAACUGCCCGGUGGAGGGGGAUAACUACUGGAAACGGUAGCUAAUACCGCAUAACGUCUUCGGACCAAAGUGGGGGA
rnacentral:rRNA from 1 species